AAACAUCUAAAUUAGCAAUGAUGACACUAUGGAACUUGCCCUCUCUUACAUGCUGUAUGGUGAGAAGUUGCCUUAUGUGUACUCAAGCCUGAGCUAAUGUGAAUUAAACAGCAUAAUGAAAUUUUGUAUUUUGCUAUGUCUGUUAUAUUGGGGAGUUAAGAUUAACAAUCCUUUCUUUUCCCUAUAGAAGAAAAAAAAUUAAUAAGUUGCGCCACAUUGUUUUUGUUUUAAAAUCUGUCUAUCUUAAAAAUUUACCUGCUUCCGUCCUGUUCAUUUUUAUUUAAGCUUGUCAUUUGCAUUUAUUGGUUUUGGCAAACACUACUUUAUUUAGCUAUGAUGACACAAUGGAACUUGCCCUCUCUUACAUGUUGUAUGGUGAGAAGUUGCCUUUUUGUGUACUCAAGCCUGAGCUAAUCUUGCAUCAUAUACAACUUUUUUUAAGAAUAAUACAUUUAGUUAAUAAUUAAUUUCCUUUUAUUUUAUUUCCCCAGGAACCACAAUCAUGCCUAAACAAAUCCAAGAAAUAAAGGAUUUCCUUUUAACAGCAAGGAGAAAAGAUGCCAAGUCUGUGAAAAUCAAGAAGAACAAGGACAAUGUGAAG